rnacentral:rRNA from 1 species
GUCUACAGCCAUGCCACCCUGAACAUGCCCGAUCUCGUCUGAUCUCAGAAGCUAAGCAGGGUCAACCUGGUUAGUACGUGGAUGGGAGACCACCUAGGAAGACCAGGUGUAAAAA